AGUAUUUUGGAUCUCUCUCUCUCUCUCGAAAAAGUUUUACAUUCUAUGAGAAAGAGAGAGAUGAGAGAGCAAAAAGAUAAUUGGAAAGAAUAAAAGAAAGAGAGAAAAGUGUGGAUAAGCAAAAGUACUUAUGGAUCCAGAAAUUCCAAUUGUCAAGCAAAGGAUAGAGCCUUACACAACUUUUGUUGGUUGAGCCUCUACCAUGGAUGCUAUUUUGAAUUUGUUGGCUUAAUUCGGAUUUGGAUUACAUUGCCGUAUUGCGUUGAUGUAGGUGUAUACAACUCAAGAGAGAAUAUUGAAGUUGAAGAUAGUUAAAGGCGGGAAUAUACGGUUGCAGCUACUCAAGAAUACUGCCUAGCAACUGGCGUGGAGGUAUGAUUUGAAUAACAAAUUUUCUCUACUGAUGAUAAGUUUAGACCUAAGUUGCGCGGACUCUCCGUUUUGAGUGCCAUCCCCGUACCGGAUACGGGUGCGAGAUACGUCUCGGAUACGGUCAACCAACUUUGGAUCUUUGACUGGAGUACAUCAAAAAUUUGGGGGGAAAUUUGAGAUUUGAUUUCUCAAAAUUAAAGAUAAAACGAAGUUAAGAUAAGGGAAAUGGCAUACCUUCAAUCUUAUAGUAUUUUUGUCUCAUUUUUGCAGCUUCGUCUUUCAAAGAAACUAAGAAUUCAAUGUCGUGUUCUGAGUUUGGAUAGUAGACAGUAGCAACGACAUAUCUUUAUAGCUCUAUUUUUUAUUAUUUUGAAAUUUCUUAGCCGAAUCCAUACUUAGAUACGCACCCCCAAAUCUUAAAAUUUAGAUUAUGCCGAAUCCUACACUCGGAUACGUUCCCGUAAUGGAUACCCGCACCCGAGUCCGAGCAACUUAGGUUUAGACAUUAACUUUUAAGUGCCCUCAGCUUUAUGAUUUUUUUGCUUUUCUAUUAAGUGGUUUGACUGCAGGUACCUUACUGAGAAAUUGUAUAUUCAUUUGUCUGGUAGCAAAUUACGCGGCGUGAUUUUCUGGAGUCACUUUGCAUAACAAACUGUUUGAUAUAACGAUCAUUUUAUUGAAUUGAGGCAACUAUAUAAUAUCCUUCGUGAGUAGGAGAAACUUGAAUCUUCAAAUUUGUUUAUGUUUUCAUCCAAAAUCUAAAUAUUCUAGCUGUAGGGAUGUACUAUGGACUGACUGUUGGAUUAAGAGAGGCACGUUGUUCAUGCUGCAGCACUGGCUAGAGCUUUCAAGCUGGAAGAUUGUUCUCAUGAACAGGUGGUGCAGUGUGCCAUCACAGGAGCAGCUAUCUCCACUGCUGCAAAUCUGCUUAUAGGAAAAUUUUAGGCUGAGUCGAAUAUCUUCAGUUGGAGAGUUAUCACUACUAUAUUUCCAUGGCACUGCAGUAGGGAAUUUAAAUUUUAUCUAUGUGGAUAGUGCCGUUUUAAUUGAUUUUGUGGCAUUUCUUCUGCCUUAUCACUUUGGGUGGAUUUUGACGAUUAAGGCUUGGUUUAAGAGCUAUUAGUGCACCUUAACUCUGGAAAUUGUUUCCAUUGUGCCACAUAUUCCUUUCUAAUGUGGAACUUUCUAUUUCCCCCA